AGUGAACGCUGGCGGUAGGCCUAACACAUGCAAGUCGAACGGCAGCACAGUAAGAGCUUGCUCUUACGGGUGGCGAGUGGCGGACGGGUGAGGAAUACAUCGGAAUCUACUUUUUCGUGGGGGAUAACGUAGGGAAACUUACGCUAAUACCGCAUACGACCUACGGGUGAAAGCAGGGGAUCUUCGGACCUUGCGCGAUUGAAUGAGCCGAUGUCGGAUUAGCUAGUUGGCGAGGUAAAGGCCCACCAAGGCGACGAUCCGUAGCUGGUCUGAGAGGAUGAUCAGCCACACUGGAACUGAGACACGGUCCAGACUCCUACGGGAGGCAGCAGUGGGGAAUAUUGGACAAAGGGCGCAAGCCUGAUCCAGCCAUACCGCGUGGGUGAAGAAGGCCUUCGGGUUGUAAAGCCCUUUUGUUGGGAAAGAAAAGCAGCAGGUUAAUACCCCGCUGUUCUGACGGUACCCAAAGAAUAAGCACCGGCUAACUUCGUG
rnacentral:rRNA from 1 species